rnacentral:rRNA from 1 species
AUUGAACGCUGGCGGCAUGCUUUACACAUGCAAGUCGAACGGUAACAGGCCGCAAGGUGCUGACGAGUGGCGAACGGGUGAGUAAUGCAUCGGAACGUGCCCAGCCGUGGGGGAUAACGCAGCGAAAGCUGCGCUAAUACCGCAUACGAACUAUGGAUGAAAGCGGGGGACCGUAAGGCCUCGCGCGAUUGGAGCGGCCGAUGUCAGAUUAGGUAGUUGGUGGGGUAAAGGCUCACCAAGCCAACGAUCUGUAGCUGGUCUGAGAGGACGACCAGCCACACUGGGACUGAGACACGGCCCAGACUCCUACGGGAGGCAGCAGUGGGGAAUUUUGGACAAUGGGCGCAAGCCUGAUCCAGCAAUGCCGCGUGCAGGAAGAAGGCCUUCGGGUUGUAAACUGCUUUUGUACGGAACGAAACGGUUCGGGUUAAUACCCUGGGCUAAUGACGGUACCGUAAGAAUAAGCACCGGCUAACUACGUGCCAGCAGCCGCAGUAAAAC